rnacentral:tRNA from 2 species
UCCCGGGUCGUCUAAUCGGCAGGACAUGGGGUUUUGGCCCCCACGGUGGUGGUUCGAGUCCACCCCCGGGAUCCA